CCCAGAGGUUAUAAAUUAGCGGUGAGACAAGCUCACACAGGGCUUGGAUCUGAGGCUGUUGGAGUAAUGGAGCUGCUGCAUGUCUGAGGAAUGAAUCUUGGUUCAAACAGUGUCUGUAGCAGAACUGAGACCAGAGUUCUUGAUCUUCACUCUUCAGACUCUUGCUCCGUAUGCUCAACUGUUUUGUACACUACUUUGUUUGGGUCACCACUACUUGAAAAUAUAAUCUGGGAGAUUUUUCUGCUUCAAGAGUGCAUUUUUCUGCAUACGAUUUUUCUGCACAUGGCUACACCACUUAUUUCAUACUGUGAUGCUCCUGAUGGAGGAAGAUGGAGAUGGCACUGGAUUCUGUGACAGAAGGAAAGAAUGCAGGAAAUAACUCCCCAGUUCACUUGAUUUUUUACCUGAUGAUUUACAAGCAUCUUCAUAUGGACUAUCCAAAGACUAGUGAAGGAGAGUAACACUGAUCCAGGAAGCUCUGGGCUGGGAAAAGUACCACAACACUUGCAUUCCUAGAAGACAGACCAUCCUUCAGAAGCCCUUGAAAGUCCUGGCUAAACGCAGUGUUACAAGUAACUUCUAGACAUGGUGACCUCCACAGCACUGACGGCUUCUGCCUGGGCUUGAAACACUAGUUUUGAUACAAAGACCCUUAUAGUUAAACGACACACCAUAAAAGAAGGUAUAGCAAGAUCUUCUUGGAAAAAUACGCCAUCGCAAUGGCAGAAGUCAAAACCCUUCACCACUGCUAUUCAUCUACAAAUGGAAAUCAUGCAGCCUCCCUGAAAUAAAGACCUAUUAAGAAAUCAUCAUUCAUCACUAGCCCUCAUCAACCCAGGCGGCUGAUAAUCGAGGUUCUCUCUAACCUCUGUGUCAAAGUAUAAUUACUUGGAAGGUUCUGAACUGAGAUAGUGUCUUUCUCUUCAAAUAUUCUAACAAAAUGGCAAUUUAAAAUGGGCUUGGACAUGGAAAUAGCUCCAGGCACCACAAUGCUGACCUCUCCGUUGGCACAGGGAGUGAAUGAAUGAGUGCACUCAUACUUCUGAAAAUAAAAUAUUAGCAUUCUCCAAGCAUCAAAAUAGCACGGCUACAGGAACAAGCAGGAAAGCCCCCAAGAAGCUCAGGGGCCUUUUGCUGAGGGCCCUCACCAAGCUAUGCUGAGGACGCCCUGGCCUCACUAGACCCCAGAGCAGUGGCACUCCUCAUAAGGAUGCUGCAUAGGCAAACUCACACUACUGCCUGUAGCUGGUUCCUCUUAGGACGUAACAGCAAAGAAAGCCUCUACUUGUACACCUUAUUUGAUAACGAAGAAUGUUGCCUAUGCUUUCCCCAAAUUAUUAUGACAGUAAUGUGAAGAUUUAAGCAUUCCUACUAUACCUCUGUAGCUGCUUCUCAGCAUGAAAUGCCAGAGCAGAGACUCAACACCACAGAAGACUGCACAAAUAAUAACAAAAAAAUAUAUAGAUUCAGCUGGGUUGCACUUCUGUAUAGACACUGCAGUUUACUCCCUCUCAGUGUCUGGAGAUGCGAUUAAGAUGACAAAGAGGAUCAAGAGGAAGGUCACUAGCUACUGUCAUCUCUCACUCAGAAAACACACAAACACAAAAUGUGUGAGAGUAGAAGUCAUUAGGCUUGUAGCAGAACUACAGCUGUGGGUGAGAGAAGGGAGAGCAGCCUUUAGAAAAGAGGUAGUAUGUGUAUAAUACUGCUUUCCCUCCAGGCACCUGAACUUCAUGAAGUACAAAGCUACCAACACUGACCGAGGAGUAGCUGAAAGGGGCCCUUGGUAAAAAGCACCUGUAUUUUUGAAGUCAAGACCUUGUAUCACAUUUUCAGACAACUAAAUCUCCAUGUAAUGCUCAUGAAACGCGUAUCUACACAGGGUAUCUUGCAGUUCAAGGCAUUAAUAAACCCACAGCAAGCUGCCAUCUGGGAAAAACUGUGUUUUGCGAACCUGUGCAGGAGGACACAAAGGAAAUGUGCAGUACAUAUUUUCAGAGUUCUAAUUUCUAACUCUGGUCAAGAGUGCUCUCAGUUAUGAACAGAUAAGAUUUUUACUCAAACUUUAAAAAAGACUAAAAAGUAAUUAUCUGUAUUCUGCUGUAGGUAAAUCCAUACUACCUACAUAAAUACCUACAGCUUCUUAUGCAACUAAUAUGCAAAGUAAUUUAGCAUCGCUGAAAUUUUCGAGACUUCCUGUGCACUCACAUUGAGUAAGGAACGUAAGAGUAUAUUUUAACACAUUCCUCACGUACGCAACAAUACAUCAAUGUGACAGUCUCACCCAUUCAUAUACACAUUUAUCCGUAUGCUUCUAAAGUAAGCAUUCUAAAGUAAGCACUGACAUUCUAGAGAAAAAAAUUCAAGAUUUGUAUCUUUAUAUUUUUGACACCCACCUGCUAUGUGUUACAGUGUUUUAUUAAGUUUACAUUAAAACAAAACUAUUUGCAAUCUGACACUAAAAAAAAUCAGUUUUUGUACUGAUGAGACUCACAGGACUGCAAUGAAACAUACAACAGAAGGGAAAUCAAUUGAUAAAUUAUUGUAUUCAGGACCUCACAUAAAGAGAAAUUCUCUAGGAGAAAAUAAUGUGGUUGACUUUUUCAAGCUCCACUUAACUUAACCCUUAUUUACAGUAGCAUCCUGAAAAAUGAAUGCUACUGUAUUUCAGAAACCAACUGGUUUUCCAACCACCUUAGAAAAGGUAAAAAAAUAUAUAUACAUUUCAAUUUACAAGCCGGUAUUCUUGAAAGCAUCAAUCUUGAUGAAUCCUUUGCUCUGCUAAGCAUGCUGUAUCUGAACAAUAAUAGUUCAUCAACAGAAGAGUGACUGAUAUAAAUAAGAGAGAAAAAAAUAUGCCUUGAAAGAACUUCUCUUCAUCUCGUAUCUGUAAGAAUUGCAUGAUAAAGGACUGGAUAGAAUUUAGCAAUAAAAGCAAGAGUUACAGAGAGUACUUGCUUCUCAAAAGCAGACACCAGCUACCACUUCAACCUGAAGGUGCCUAUGCCCUCCCUAACCUUGAAUCCCCUAAGCUCUGAG
ensembl:lncRNA